CAUCUGAGUCCUCGACUCUCUCGCGUUUCUCUCAAACCGCUUCUCUUCUCUCACUUGGGUGAUCUCCAUCUCUGUCUCGUGGCUUUACUCACCAGUGAAGGUUUCUCAAAAAGAUCAAAAUCACUUUGAUAAAGUGGAACUAGAAGGUGGCAGAACAAUUGAUGAUUAUGCAUGAAGAAUACUUGCAUAGAAAUCGAUAGGUCUCAGCUGUAUUACCAGCGCCCAAGUUUGAGCUCCUUCAACCUUAGACUCUUGGUUCCUUUGCUUUCAGAUAAGGGAUAAGUGAUAUGAGCAUUUGUUUUAUUCUGGAGCAGAGGAAGCCUUAGUCGAGUUUUGGGAGGAAUUGGUUUUAAUUUUAAAAGUAUAGUCCCUGUUUUGGAAGUUUGAUGCUUAACUUUAUAGUAUUGUGUAUUUUAGGAUCUAAUGAAAGUUGUGUACUUUAAUAUAUUAAGAGAUGUAUUAUGUGAAAUUCCAAAAUUGAAUAACUGGUGGAUUAAGU